AAGGUCUCCACUCCCAUGGAGCGUACAUUUUAGUGGAGGGCACUAAACAAUAAAAAUUAAAGAGAGAGGUUAACAGGUAUUGAAAAGUGAUAAAAGCGCAGUGCUAACGUUCUGAGUGGGAAGGGAACUGGAGGCUGACCCAACAGGGAAAAACCUGGAGGCCUGAAAGAAAAGGAUGUGAAGACUUUGGGGAAGAGCAUUCCAGGAAGGAACAGCCAAUGCAAAGGCCCUAAGGCCGCGACAGGGACCCAAGUAUUUCUUUACACAUCUUUUCCCUGUAAACCAAGGACCCAGCCUUGUUCAUUUCCAUGUUUCACACCGGGCUUGGUGAUGUGCCCCUGGAGGUGGUCAGCUGAAUGGAUGAAAGAACAAGUUGAAGCUGUUCUGGGCCCACGAGCAGGCUGACUUAGCUGCUGUAAUGAGGGGACGAGGCAGCUAACCGUCAGUCUCUUUCCUCUUCCAGCUGGAUCCCGAGGGUUCCCAGAACCACAGGCUGCAACGACGGGAAGCUCCAGGCCAGAGCCCUGCCUCUGGGCCUCAGAUCCUGAAAUGCCCAGAGGCCGAGUGUUUCAGGCUGCGCUGUGAGCUUGGGCCACUCCACCGGCAAGAAAGCCGAAGUCUGCAACUGCAUUUCCGGGUCCGGGCCAAGACCUUCCUGCAGCGAGAGCACCAGCCAUUUAGCCUGCAGUGUGAAGCUGUGUACGAAGCUCUGAAGAUGCCCUACCGGAUCCUGCCUCGGCAGCUUCCCCGAAAGGAACUUCUGGUGG